UCGGGGCUUGCUUGGGUUGCCGCCCCUCGAGAAGCGCAUCUGUAUCCGUUAGAUCUCGAUUUAGCGACUUUGAUCAUCAAAAAUAAUCUCUGCGAUUGUUCUCUUCUCUCGCCCUCUCUUCUCUUCGGCGAAUUCUUGCCGAUCGUCACGCCCGCCCAGUCUUUGAAGGUGUCUUAAGAGAAAGUUAAUUGUGUGCAUAAAAAAAUGUCUCGUAAAGGAUUGAUGGAGCAGGACUUGAGUAAACUCGAUGUUCCACAGCUUCACCCACUAUCACCAGAAUUUGUCUCACGUCUGGCUACUAUUAACCUUGAUGCAGCCCUUGUCAUAGUAAAGAUGAACUAGUGAUGGUACUUGUUUAGUAACACUUUAGUCGAAUAAUAAUAUUCAUGUAUAUAAUAUAAUAAUAUAAGUAGGGCGGGGACGAGGUGGGGAGUGAUCUACCCAUCCCCAACCCCAUAAUUGCACGGGCAAUAUAAAAUGCCCCGUAUCCAUGUUUAUUUUCCUCAUCCCUGCCCCGUUAUGGGCGGGCCCACGGGUACACGUAUUUGUAGGCAUAAUUGACGUAAGCUGUCGAUGGGGGAUCGAGUUGUUGGUGUGAAGAACGUGAUUUGACCAUAAGCUGCAGUAAGCCUUACUGCAGCUUACUGCGCCAGUGUGCACGAGAAAAGGGGAGAAGAUUGCUUCUCAGCCUUGCUUCGAGGCCGGUGUGACCCUCGAAGUCCCACCCUGCCCCAUCCGAGAGAAGAUUCUUCCUUCCCAUCGUCCCUCCGUUGUAGAAGGAGAAAACCCCCCCCCCCCCCCCCCCCCAAAAAAACAAAAGGAAAAGGCAAGCACGGCAAUUUUGGCAUGUGGCAAAGGUAGAGAACUCGUGGGGAGUUUUCUUCUGAGAUCGGCAAGUAUACAUUGGAUGAAUGGAUGGAUGGAUGGAUGGGUUUCCUACAUCUUCUUACUCUAAUGCUCUUUUGUAGUUUUUAGUACCAGAAGAAUAUGAUGCAACUUUUAGUUUCGGUGGUGGUGCCUAUUUGAGGAAAUUGCAAUGCGUGAUGCCCGGUAUUAACUUUUAUUAGUAGAAAACUUGUAAACCGUUGUUCUAACAAUUCGAGUUUCCGAAGAUGAUAGCCAUGUUUGGUAGCAACGUGCGUGUUGAAGAUGCUACGGCGAGGACAUCGAGUUGCACGGGCCUCGCUGUGGUGCAGUGGUUGGACGGAGCACUCAACGUUGUUUGUCCCGUUCGGCUGGGAAUUCUGGGAAGCGGCCAGGUAUGGAAGAUUACCUAAGCUGGCGGUUACAGGGCUUCUACGCUAAUUUGGACCGGAUCCGGAGCCAUCGUGAUUCCCGAUGGAUCCGGGGACAGUCAAACUCAUCAGGGCAAAGCAACUAUCACCGCCCACGCGAUUGGUACGCGCAGUGGGCGCGGAGACGACGCCACGCGGUCGCGACGAAUGAGAUCAGAUCUCCUGCGAACGCUUCGCCCCGCACGCGUCUCAUACCUCCUCCUCCUCCUCCAUCUUCUUCCCUCCAGACCUCCUCCUGGGUUCUCCUGCCAACCCGGCGAUUCCGUUUCAAGAUCCAACGCCGUGGUGACAUCGUGCCCUUGAUCUGUCUCUGAAGCUCUCCUGCAUGUCCCUUCGCAAGAGAAAUCCCAAACAAGACGAAGGAUGUGGAGAUGAUGUUGUUGAGCUCAGUGAAGAGCUGCUCGGAAACAUCGUGCACGAUGGAGGAGGAGGAGGAGCCAUGAAAGCGAUCAAGAAAAAGGCAAAGCAGCUGCUCGAUGGUCAGAACCCAAAGAAGCAGCAGAAGAAGGAGAAGAAGGAGGAGGAGGAGAAGAGGAAUAAGAAUCGGAUCGAGGAAGAGCAGAAGCAAAGAAGCUGGCCUGCGAACCCUCCUCCCCACCUUGCCCAGUCUUUCUCGUUUGACGCCUCCUUCACUUCCGCCGAGGGCUGCUGCCUCCUUCCACCCAUCAGAGCGAACCCCCGCGGUGAUCCCAAGGCGCCCAAGAAGCCCUCCAAUCACAACCUCCUCUUGAGGUCUCUCAUCGAGAGGAACGAUUUCUACUGCAAGGAAUGCAAUGUCCAUCUCAGAUAAGCCCCCAAUUCAAAUCCCUCUUCUUCUUCUUUUUAAAGAGUUGUCAUGUUGACUGCGUAGAUCGAAUGGCCGAGCAUCUCUGUUUGUUUCCUUCUCGUCUUUCGCUGGAAGCCGAUUUGCGAAUCGAUCUCCACGCGAGACCGAUGCCUGAUCCGAUCACUCGUUAAUCCAUGACAGCGUGUCGAGAUGCUGGUUGUCUUCCUCAA